rnacentral:rRNA from 1 species
CCUACGGGAGACAGCAGUGGGGGAUAUUGCACAAUGGGGGAAACCCUGAUGCAGCGACGCCGCGUGAGUGAAGAAGUAUUUCGGUAUGUAAAGCUCUAUCAGCAGGGAAGAAAAUGACAGUACCUGACCACGAAGCCCCGGCUAACUCCGUGCCAGCAGCCGCGGUAAUACGUAGGGGGCAAGCGUUAUCCGGAUUUACUGGGUGUAACGGGAGCGUAGACGGUUAUGUAAGUCUGGAGUGAAAGCCCGGGGCCCAACCCCGGGACUGCUUUGGAAACUGUGGAACUGGAGUACAGGAGGGGCAGGCGGAAUUCCUGGUGUAGCGGUGAAAUGCGUAGAUAUCAGGAGGAACACCGGCGGCGAAGGCGGCCUGCUGGACUGAAACUGACGUUGAGGCUCGAAAGCGUGGGUAGCAAACAGGAUUAGAUACCCCGGUAGUC